AUCUACCCCGAUCCAGAUCCCCCACCUCCCUCCCGCACCUCCUGCCCCAAACCGGCAACGCGCCCGCCACCCCGCCCCCAACCGGCGGUGGCGCCGCCACCGGCCGACAUCACCCCCCCUCUUCCCGAGAUCCUCUUCGACGCCACUACACCACCGGCGAACCUCGCGCGCCGCCGCCCGCUGCAAACCUCGCGCGCCACGGCCUCUUACCGAAUCCAACCGGCGGAGCUCGCCACGGCAACCACCGCGUUCUUCCUCUCGCCGCCGCCCUGGAGAGGAACCUCCCAAACAUGCGCCACGGUGGAGCUCGCCUGCCCCAGUGCCUCUUCUCCACGCAUGCCCUUCUUCCUCGCCGGAGCUGAUGUGGGCCGCCACAUCACCCCGCUGGCCGGGAUCCCCCUCCCCUGCCCCCGCGCCGUCCUGGCCGGCCACACUGACCUUCUCAUGAGAGCCACCUUGACCUUCCUGGAAUAAGGUUCAUCCAUGGAGCGGCCGCUCCCGCCCCUCCAUCUCCGGCGAGGUGCGCCAUCCCCUCCUUCAGUGCCCCCUUCGGGUGAAGCUCCACGCCACCACCAUCGUCACGCCAUUCCAGCCACUAGCACGCACAUGUUGUUCUCCUCGUGACGGCCAACUUGAACUUCCUGAGGAACUCUCCGAGAAUUAAUAAACUCUCUGCUUUUGUCACAACUCUCGGCCUUGAUGUCUCCUCUGCCUGUUCUCUGCUUUACAGCGUCUCAAUAGCCAUGGAGAAACCUGAAGAUGCAGUUGGAGAAAAGGAAGGGCUAAAGAGGGUAAGGCGUCAUGGACUAGUGGUAAAACAAGCUUUCUUGUACCAAUGAUGAAGGAGUGUGGAUGCAACAAACUUCUGUGUUCAAAAUUGAUGGACAAAGGAGUUGCAGCACACAGAGCAAAACCUAUCUCAGGUACCUCUCACACUAAGGUCCAGAGGGAGUGACAGCGCCGGGGAGAGCAGCACAACAACGAUGACGAAUGCCAGAACGUACAGGCGGCGCUCCGACAAGAGGCCGUGCUUGCCGUCGGCCUCCUUUGCAUCUUCUUCCACGAGUGUUUCUAGUAGGGCUCGAUGUUUAUUAAAAAAGAGUAAGACAUUUACACUUUUCUUCAGGAAGACAUUUGUAAGUCAAAAAACAUGAACUUUUCUUCAACAACGAUGUAAUGCCUGAGAACAAAGUUCUGCUAUGCCUGAGAAUAUAUGGAGUACGUGGCUGGUGUUUAUGCAAA